rnacentral:rRNA from 1 species
AUCGUGGUGCACCGUGAAGGGUCUUUGGGCGUUUUACACAUGCAAGCAAGUGUUCUAUAAUUUAGGUUAUGGAACAGCCAAAUGGUCAGUACAGCUCAGUCCUAGGCGAUGGACUCCGUAAAACGGGGACAGACUAUCCUUUAAUAAUUAAUAGGUUUAUUAUUUCAAUAAUAAUCUCUAGGAAGGGAUAUACAUAUAUCCUUAUUAGUCUAAAGGUUGAUAAACCGCCUUAGUCAGGACUGAGUUCUCAACAGCUACGGGUUAAACCCCAGGCAACGACGAGUAGGGGAUAGUGAUAGCUACAACCCCGACACUGGCCGCAAGCCAGGGUACUUAAGUACGCAGCAGUGAAGAAUCCUCGGCAAUGCAUCGCAAUUACCGGUGACCCAAUAUAAAAUAAUAUCAGGGAGGUAGUAGGUGUGACCGGGUGACCCAAAGACGAGUAGUGACAUAAGUUAUUAUUCGCGUAUGUCGAACAUGAUAGUGACGUGUUCAACAUCAAGCCCCGUCCAACCUCUGUGCCAGCAGUCGCGGUAAAACAGGAGGGGCAGCUCUUAUGGUCAUGAAUGGGCGUAUAGGGCACGCAGCCAGUUAGUAAAAGCUUGAAUAUUCAUUUUUUAAAAAGAAUGUUUGAGAGGCUAUGAGUUUUUAUAAAGUGUACCCACGACACCAGACUUAGGGCUGAGAUCCUAUGAAGUCUGGGGGCGGUCCUUUAGGGUGCAUUGUAAAAACUGACGGUAAGGUGCGACAGCUGGGAUACCGAAGCGGAGUAGAGCCCGCCUAGCCCCAGCCGUAAACGAUAGGGGCCGUUGUUGACUACGGUUUUCAAUAAGGCUAACGCCUGAGCCCCUCGCCUGUAGGGUAUAGCCGCAAGGCCGACAUAUUAACGAUGAGACCGCUGGUGAGCAAACGGGUGCGGGGCAUGCUGUUCAAUCAGACAGUACGCUGACAACCUUACCACUCCUUGAAUCUUUUAGAUUAUAUUUCUAAAAUGACAGGUGCUGCAUGGCCGUCGUCAGUUCGUGGUCGUGAGUCGUCCGGUUGAGUCCAUGAACGAACGCAGACCCGUCUGUAUACUCAGUGAAAAGAAAUUUAGCUGAACUAUACAGUUGUACUUCUAUAAAAGGUACCUGUACGGGAUUAUGACAGGUCGUCAUGGCCUUUAUGGAGUGGGCUACAGGCGUGCCACACGAGCCGUUUUAACGAGUUCCUCAUUUUUAUGAAUAAGGUCUCUUAAUCACGGCUAGUAUACGGAUCGUAGGCUGUAACUCGCCUACGUGAAGUCGGAGUCCCGAGUAAUCGCCGAUCAUCACGCGGCGGUGAAUCUACACUCUCACUGGGGUACUAACCGCUCGUCACGGGCUAGUAUGCCGGCACUAGUAAAGCAGAAUUUGGAAGGAUU